AUGACUAGACCAAAGAAGGAUGGUGGACUUGGCUUCCGUGACUUGCAUAUUUUCAACAUGGCAAUGCUAGCUAGGCAGGGAUGGCGACUUCUGGAAGCACCAGACACGCUAUGUGCUCAAGUCCUGAAGGCGUGGUACUACCCAAACUGCUCGGUUUUGGAGGCCACUGAAAGCGACGGUAUUUCGUAUAUGUGGAGCAGCAUCCUAAAGGGAAUCGCCUUGCUAAAAGAAGGAAUUAUAUGGCGAGUUGGGACAGGUGAGGGAAUUUAA
rnacentral:rRNA from 1 species